rnacentral:rRNA from 1 species
UACGUAGGGUGCAAGCGUUGUCCGGAAUUAUUGGGCGUAAAGAGCUCGUAGGCGGUCUGUCGCGUCUGCUGUGAAAACUUGGGGCUUAACUCCAAGCUUGCGGUCGAUACGGGCAGACUUGAGUUCGGCAGGGGAGACUGGAAUUCCUGGUGUAGCGGUGAAAUGCGCAGAUAUCAGGAGGAACACCGGUGGCGAAGGCGGGUCUCUGGGCCGAUACUGACGCUGAGGAGCGAAAGCGUGGGGAGCGAACAAG